GACGAACGCUGGCGGCGUGCUUAACACAUGCAAGUCGAACGGAAAGGCCCUGCUUUUGUGGGGUGCUCGAGUGGCGAACGGGUGGGUAACACUUGAGUAACCUGCCUUUGACUUUGGGUUAACUUAAGGAAACUGGGGCUAAUACCGGAUAGGAGCUCCUGCUGCAUGGGGGGGGUUGGAAAGUUUCGGCGGUUGGGGAUGGACUCGCGGCUUAUCAGCUUGUUGGUGGGGUAGUGGCUUACCAAGGCUUUGACGGGUAGCCGGCCUGAGAGGGUGACCGGCCACAUUGGGACUGAGAUACGGCCCAGACUCCUACGGGAGGCAGCAGUGGGGAAUAUUGCACAAUGGGCGGAAGCCUGAUGCAGCAACGCCGCGUGCGGGAUGACGGCCUUCGGGUUGUAAACCGCUUUCGCCUGUGACGAAGCGUGAGUGACGGUAAUGGGUAAAGAAGCACCGGCUAACUACGUG
rnacentral:rRNA from 1 species